rnacentral:lncRNA from 1 species
UAAGAGUUAAUUUUUUUAUCAUAUUUAUAAUAAAUAAUUAUUUUAAGGAUAAAGUAUGUUUUUUAUCCCUAACUUCAAAAAUUUUCAAAACUACUCGUAACGUUUAAUUUGAUUCAAUUUUGUCCUUAACAUUUAAAAUAAUUUCAAUUUUAUCCUUACUGUGAAAUUUUUGAGAAUCAACAGUUAGUCAAAACUCAUUUUUUCAAUUUUAACUCUCAUUCGUCUAACCUUAAUCCUAACUCAUCACUCCAAACCCAACUCCAACCCUUCACCUCACCAUUACCACCACCAUCACCAUCAUCAUCAUCAUCGUACCCACCAUUACUCUUGCAUCCCUCGUCUCAACAACAGCACACCUUACCCAAAUUAACCACAACAACCACCUACUCCAUGACACCCUUACCCACAUGACAGAGAGAGGUAGAGAACGGAAGGAAGAGAGAGGAUGGGGCACGAUCAUUGAGAGAGGAUCCACCAAACCAUCGAUAAACUUUGCCAUCGCAAUUCCUCCCUCAUCGCAAUUCCUCCAUCACCGAGCGUGAGUCCUGCUACUGUUGCCAUAAUUCACGGCUAGACCGAGUUUCCCACUCCGACCUUCGCAAGCCUCUCCCCACUUUCAUCCUCGCUUUAUGUUCGCUGCCCUCUUUGAGUUCCUCAUGCCUUUCUCCAAACUCCGAUGGUAAUGAGAUGACGAUGACAAUGAAUGGUGCCAGUUGGAAGGGAAGGGGUGCAGUAAUGAUGAGGGCGACAGUGAAGGAGGAGGUGGUGGUGAGAAGGAACGAGUGAGAAUGGGUCAGAAGAAAGGAGGUGGGAAUGAGUGGUAUUGAUGUG